CUCUCUCUCUCUCUCCCCCUCUCUCUCUUUCUUUCUUUCUUUUUUUCUGCCAGAAAAUUGGAAACAAUAUUCUUUUCUGAUCAGUUCAGUAAUACAAUGUCCUUCAGUGUCCACAUGAACAUUUCAGUGGAGAAGAAAAGAAACUUUGCUACCUGGGAACUGAAGACUGCUUAGGUCAGUGAAUGCUAAUAAAGUCCUUAAGGACUUAUGGAACCAGGAGUUAACUUUUCUCAACUGUUAAGGAUGCCUCCAUCCAGACUAUUUGCAAAACAAAAACAAAAUCCCCAAAUGGAAAAGGCAAAGAUGGACUUGAAAGCUUGGAUUCAGCCUGGAGCCUGUUACCCAAAUUGCUAUUUUAUGAAGACUUUUGUAUACAAAUGACUCAGAUCCAGACCUUCAAAAAUAAUGUUGGAAGGCCAUUUGGUUCAUGCUGGUUCUAAAAGCUUCAGUCAGCCUGGUAGAUGGAUCUAGUACAAAAUGUAGGGAAGUCUCUUCAUUGAAAUUUAAAUAUGUUCCACUGACCAUGGUGAGAAGCUGACUUUUAAAAAUAGCCAAUGCUGGUGCUCCAAGAACAGACUGAUGAUGCCUCCCUCUCAUAGACGCUGGUGUUUCACAUCCAACUGUUCUCAUCUUCCCAAGACUGUGGUGGUUCUCCAGGAAAUUUUCCCUACUUCACAGGAACCAAGAUCUAGAGUAUUUCUUAGAUGAAAUAAACUGGAUUCUCCUCUUUGGUUCUUCUCCUUGACAAUAGAAUAAUCAUUCAACACAGAGGCUAUGACAAAAAGGGACAUUUUUGGUACGAAUAGAGAUUCAUACCUUGCCAGCUGGAUCUCUCUUGCCUCUUCCAGGGGAGACUGGGUUGAAAGAGUCAGCAGAAACAGAAAAGCCCCAUCAGCAGAGAGAAAUAAUGACUCCUGAAUCAUUUCAGAAUGAAAAAAUUGAAACGAUGUCUCAAUGAUGCUACAUUGUGCCAGACACAGGUGGAUGGUUUGAAGAUAUUGGCCUAGCAAGAUGGCAACAGGUUUAAAAAAUAAGAUUCAUAAGAAGUUACCUUUUCAGACAUGUCAAACCCCUAAACGAGAGAAGAUACUGAGGCCUGUUGCCACAAACCCGUAGAUCCGAACUUGUGGUGAUAGUCCGCACAAGCUUGUGUCUACA